rnacentral:rRNA from 1 species
AAGGAAUAUUGGUCAAUGCCCGCGAGGGUGAACCAGCCAUUCCGCGUGGAGGAUGAAGGCCCUAUGGGUUGUAAACUUCUUUUAGAUGGGAAGAAAAUGCUAGAUGUAUCUGGUACUGACGGUACCAUCAGAAUAAGCACCGGCUAACUCCGUGCCAGCAGCCGCGGUAAUACGGAGGGUGCGAGCGUUAUCCGGAAUUACUGGGUUUAAAGGGUGCGUAGGCGGAUGAUUAAGUCUAAGGUGAAAGUUUGUCGCUUAACGAUAAAAUUGCCUUGGAUACUGGUUAUCUUGAAUAAGGAUGAGGAUGGCGGAAUGUGGCAUGUAGCGGUGAAAUGCAUAGAUAUGCCAUAGAACACCAAUUGCGAAGGCAGCUAUCUGGUCUUUUAUUGACGCUGAGGCACGAAAGCGUGGGGAUCGAAC